rnacentral:rRNA from 1 species
GAGUUUGAUCUUGGCUCAGAUUGAACGCUGGCGGCAUGCCUUACACAUGCAAGUCGAACGGCAGCACGGGAGCUUGCUCCUGGCGGCGAGUGGCGAACGGGUGAGUAAUGCAUCGGAACGUAUCCUGGAGUGGGGGAUAACGUAGCGAAAGUUACGCUAAUACCGCAUAUUCUGUGAGCAGGAAAGCGGGGGACCUUCGGGCCUCGCGCUCUUGGAGCGGCCGAUGUCGGAUUAGCUAGUUGGUGAGGUAAAGGCUCACCAAGGCGACGAUCCGUAGCAGGUCUGAGAGGAUGAUCUGCCACACUGGAACUGAGACACGGUCCAGACUCCUACGGGAGGCAGCAGUGGGGAAUUUUGGACAAUGGGGGCAACCCUGAUCCAGCCAUGCCGCGUGAGUGAAGAAGG